rnacentral:lncRNA from 1 species
CCUGAGUGAGAAUCUAGAAUUAAGGAUGUUGUUCUAGAACCCUGACUGAGAAUCUAGAAUUAAGGAUGUUGUUCUAGAACCCUGACUGAAGCUUUACGAUUGAAGAUGGUGCUCUAGAACCCUGACUGAAGCUUUACGAUUGAAGAUGGUGCUCUAGAACCCUGACUGAAGCUUUACGAUUGAAGAUGGUGCUCUAGAACCCUAACUGAAGCUCUAAAACUAUAGGAUGUUGUUCUAGAACCCUGACUGAAGCUCUAAAACUGAGGAUGUUGUUCUAGAACCCUGACUGAAGCUCUAGAAUUGAGGAUGUUGUUAUAGAACCCUGACUGAAGCUCUAGAAUUGAGGAUGCUGUUUUAGAACCCUGACUGAAAAUCUAGAAUUGAGAAUGUUGUUUUAGAACCCUGACUGAAGCUCUAGAAUUAAGGAUGUUCUAGAACCCUGACUGAAGCUCUAGAAUAGAGAAAGUUGUUCUAGAACCCUGACUGAAGCUCUAGAAUUGA